CCUACGGGGAGCAGCAGUGGGGAAUAUUGGACAAUGGGCGAAAGCCUGAUCCAGCCAUGCCGCGUGUGUGAAGAAGGCCUUCGGGUUGUAAAGCACUUUCAGUGGGGAAGAAAGCCUUGGGGCUAAUACCCUCGAGGAAGGACAUCACCCACAGAAGAAGCACCGGCUAACUCCGUGCCAGCAGCCGCGGCAAUACGGAGGGUGCGAGCGUUAAUCGGAAUUACUGGGCGUAAAGCGCGCGUAGGCGGUCUGAUAAGCCGGUUGUGAAAGCCCCGGGCUCAACCUGGGAACGGCAUCCGGAACUGUCAGGCUAGAGUGCAGGAGAGGAAGGUAGAAUUCCCGGUGUAGCGAUGAAAUGCGUAGAGAUCGGGAGGAAUACCAGUGGCGAAGGCGGCCUUCUGGACUGACACUGACGCUGAGGUGCGAAAGCGUGGGUAGCAAACAGGAUUAGAUACCCCAGUAGU
rnacentral:rRNA from 1 species